AUAUUAGCUACGUGAGAGAGUAGUUUCUUACAGAGGCGGCGCCGCGGCGGCCACCAAAAAGGGCACGAAAACAGCAACUCACGCUCCAUCGAGAGUGAUCGAGAGAGAGAGAGAGAGAGAGAGAGAAGCUCGUGGGAAUGGCGAGUCGCGAGAGGACGAUCCGCGUCGCGAUUGUCGCCGCGGCGGCGAUCUCCCUCGUGGCCUCGGCGGCGCUCCUCCUCCUCCGGCAGCGGCGGCUGCGGCGGCGGCGGCGGCGCGGGGUGGCGUGCGGCGGCGGAGGGAGGCGGCGCCGCCGCUGCUUCGAGCCGGAGGAGAAGCCCCAGAACCGGUUCAAGCGCGUCCUCGCCGAUAACUCUUACUCCCCAUUCAAGCAUUUGAAGUGCGAGGGCAAAGAGAAAGGUGUCUCUUUGAAGAUGCAUCCAUAUGAAGAAGAGAUUAAUUCUUUGCUGGAUGAUCCUCCGCUUAUAUCGAACUUUUGUUCAAACAAUAAAUAUUCAGACAUGAGUACUUCGUAUAGUUGGAUUGACACAGAAGCUCAGUUAGAGUCCCUCACAAAAUUGCUUAGUGGAGAACGAGUCUUUGCUGUUGAUACGGAACAGCAUAGUCUUCGAUCCUUCCUAGGUUAUACUGCUUUAAUGCAGAUUUCUACUCAGAAGGAAGACUUUUUGAUAGAUACAAUUGCUUUACAUGACGUGAUGGGGAUCUUACGCCCUGUUUUUGCUGAUCGUUCCAUUUGUAAGGUAUUUCAUGGAGCUGAUAAUGAUGUUCUUUGGCUUCAGAGAGACUUUCAUAUAUAUGUUGUAAAUAUGUUUGAUACUGCGAAGGCAUGUGAAAUUCUAUCGAAGCCGUACAAAUCAUUAGCAUAUUUGCUUGAAACAUAUUGUGGAGUUUCUACCGACAAAACUUUCCAGCGGGAGGAUUGGAGAGUACGCCCACUAUCGACAGAGAUGAUUGAAUAUGCUCGUAGUGAUGCUCACUAUUUGUUAUAUAUCUCUGACUGUUUGGCCUCUGAACUCCAUAAGAGAAUUUGUGAUACUUCAGAUUGUCCCGAUGACAAAUUCAAUUUUUUCUUCGAGGCCAGUCGUCGUGCAAAUAUGGUUUGCAUGCAACUUUAUGUGAAAGACAAUGAAUCUACUCCGGGAGCUUCUGCUGCAGCAUCUAUUUUUUCACGCUAUAUGAAUGUUCAAGGGUUUGAAUCCUUGAAACUGGGUGAAUCAAAGGAUCUUAUUUGGAAAUUAUGUGCAUGGAGGGACUUAAUGGCUCGAGUUCAUGAUGAAAGCUUACGAUUUGUCCUCUCGGAUCAAGCUAUAGCUGCUCUCGCUGUAACAAUUCCAAAAAGCUCAACAGAAGUAUAUAAUGUCAUAGUAGAAGCUGACCUUAGUAAUGGUUCAGCAUAUCCUUCCCAACCAUCACCAUCUCCUGUUGUGGUUACUCACGUUGAAGAACUAUGCUGUUUACUUCAGGAUUCGACCACCAACAUAGAUAAUGUUUUUAAGCUUUUGCUAGACAAGAAUCUAGGCCAAACCGGAUGUUGUCCUCUAUCAGUUUAUAACUAUGCACUAGUAUCCGAAUUCAAUUUGAAGAAAACCAGUAUGUUUUCCUUGAAGCAUGGUGGGGAAAAGUUGACGCCAACAAAUAAUAAGAAGGCCUCCCGUGAACUCUUCAUUCAAAAGUUCUCUUGCAAAUCCCCAGUUUACCAUAACUGCAGGAUCUACGCUACUGAUGGGAGAUUGCUUUGCUAUUGUGAUCGAAGAAAACUAGAAUGGUAUCUUCAACGCAAUUUGGCAAAGAUGGUAGAAGAGGACCCUCCGGCAAUCAUGCUGCUUUUUGAACCGAAGGGGCGACCAGAGGAUGAAGACAAUGACUUCUACAUUCACAGUAAGAAAAACAUAUGCGUUGGAUGUGGGGAAAAGAGUCACUAUAUACGUUACAGAAUAAUACCAUCAUGCUAUAGAAUGCAUUUCCCAGAGCACUUGAAAAGCCACCGCUCGCAUGAUAUUGUCCUGUUGUGUGUGGAUUGCCAUGAAGCAGCUCAUGCUGCUGCUGAGAAGUAUAAGAAGCAGAUUGCAGGAGAAUUUGGGAUCCCUCUGUUUGUGCAAAGGAUAGUUGGUUCAGGGGAUAAACCUAUUAUAACAGUUUCAUCGAGUAUUGACGGGAAGGAUGAUGAUACCGGUGUGUCUCCUUUGCAGUUGAGGACUGCUGCUAUGGCUCUUUUACGCCAUGGGUCCAGUAUGCCUUUAGAGAGACAGGCGGAGCUUAUGCAGAUUGUAAAGGCAUACUAUGGAGGAAGGGAAGUGACUCCAGAAGAUCUGGAAAUGGCAUUAUUUGUUGGUAUGAGUCCCCAUGAGAGGAGGAGGUUUGAAAAGAAAAAAGGGUUGUCUUUUCUAAACCCUGAAAAGCGUACCAUAAGCAAAGGUAGCACAUGCACUGCUGUAGAGGCUGCAAAGAAAGAUUCAGAGAUGGAUCAUUCCACAAACCAAGAACUAAUAACUGGUAAAUUUGAUGUUAGUGAUGGUGGUCAGGGGGAUUUAUCUACCACUAAUGAAGAUGUUGAUAGAAGACAACCUCCUGAGAAGGGAAACAAUUGCACUUUAGACUAUGGCAAUGGGGAUGGGAUUACCUCUGAAAGUGACAAGAAGCUAUCACUGUUAGGUCACGGGCCGCAUGGGAAGCAAGUUGUAGAACAUUUACUUAACAAUUACGGAGAAGAGGGUAUUCGCGAAUUUUGCCAGAGAUGGCGACAAGUCUUUGUCGAAGCCAUUCAUCCUCGGUUCUUACCAUCUGGUUGGAAUAUAAAGCACAGUGGGCGACGGGAUUUUGGUGAGUACAGUGUUUAUAAUCCAGCAAAGAAAGCUCCUUAAAUUUCUAGCAGCUAGGUUGCUGAGUCGUCAGGUUGCGUACAACCUUUUGUUUUGGUUGCCCAUGUUAUCCGCAAGGGAUAAGCGGAGUUGUUCUUAACCUAGUUCUUUAUAUCAGUUGGUCUGAUGUAGUUCAAUGACUAUUCCAUUGAGCGCAGCCAAAAGUCCAUCAAAGUAAUGCUUUUCUCAGUCCUCAGAUGCUUCUAUUGGAGGUUGAAGAUUCGAAGAUCCAAAGCAUUUGUGGACAUUUUUCGGCUCUAUAUCAUUCGGAGUGGUUGCAUUUUGAAAACGCACGUGGAUGCAUGAACAUUUUAUUUUAUUCAAUCGCCUUUUGUUCUGUUCAUGCUGGUUCUAUAGUCAUUAUUUUUUUCAGUAAAAUUACAGGGAAAAAAAGUGCUGCUAAAAAUAAUAGUUGGACAAUAAAGAAAAAGGCUUAAUAAUACAUACAUAUUCCGUUUCAGAAUCCACAUUUGGCUUUCUCAUGACCAUAGAUCAGUAAUACAAUUAUAACCAUCCUUACAACAGCAUA